rnacentral:sRNA from 1 species
UGGGCGGACUGUAUUACAAACUCAACAAUGUACAUAUGGAGCUCGAAAAGUACAGCGAGGCCCUUACCGUCUACCAGGAGACGCUGGGACGAGAUCAU